AUGUCAGGGAGUUUCAAGUUAAAGAAGCGGAGCUUUAGCGAGGCCUCGCCGAUUGAUAAGAAAAAGACUGUUAAACAAACCUGCCUGGCCUUUCUUCCAAUCCCUUCUAGGGACCUUUCAAAGAAGUUUCAGUUAAAGAUACAAAAGAAUUCCUAUGCGUCCGCAGCUAAUGAAUCUGAUGGAUGCCAUUUCUUCUGUUCUAUUGUAAUGCUAGCGAAAGGCUUUAAACGAAUCCCUGACUUAAAGGGAAUGGGAAUAAACAACUGGCUUUCUUCUCCUAGUGCAAUCAGUUCUGGCACAAGACAAUCCUGA